GGGCUGUUCACACCAAACGUGUUUUUGUGCAUGUCAGCACUGUGUUCGAAUUGUUUUCUGACAUAAUUACGUGCUAGACGGGCAUCUUUGACUGCUGGCACAUCUUGCUGUUUCAUUCAAGUCUCGCGCAGGACUGACAGAAGCUCAGGUGUCAAAGAGGACUUCAUGUGACUGUUGCACCGUUAUACAUGAUUCUAGGUUGUAAAGUUUCAGUCCAAAUACAGUUUCAGCAUGUGAUAAAUGCAGAUGAAAGGAAGUCAUACACAUCUGAGAUGGCAUGAGGUUUGAACAUCCUUUCCUACUGUGGGCCUCAGAGCACAGUAGUACACAGCAGAGUCAGACACACGCAGAUCCUGGAUUGUCAGUGGAACUGAUUUUGAUGAUUUUAUCAGUUCAGAGUGAAAUCGUUCCUGGAACUCAGUGCCAUUAUCC